CCAAAUCUGCGUGCUCUUUAUUCACUAAUACAGAACAGGAACAGAUUACGACACAAUGCAAUGAUGUGUAGUGAUGUGAAUCAGUUAACAACUAUCGUGAUCAAGCCAUCUGACAAUCGGAUUAGGGUCAUGUAAGAAUGUAGAACUAUUGAGAUCAAUGAUGUCAUCGUUCGUUUCUAAAAUUCGUAUUACAAGACAAAAUGUUAUUCCAUUAACUAGCUUUAUAAAGAAAUAUCAUAUAGAGUGUAUAUAAUAGCCUUUUAUUCUGCAAAUAAAUUAUGAGAGAUAAGAAA